UUAGAUCAUUCAAGGAUUGGAAAAUGUAACGGCUUUGUUGUGUUAUCGCAACAAGUGAAUUGGGAAUAAGCAGAAUAAUGUAAAAGAGAGACAUGAUAAUGAGUAUUAUUAACUUAUGAACACAUAUUUGCUCUAAUGAACACUCGAAUUGUCUGUAGACUGUAGGUCUUAGAAAAAAACAAAAAAAAAUGUAUGUAUUUGAUCAUAUAUUUGCACCAACUUUUCUGUUCUUACUUAUGGUGUUUUGUAUUAAAGUUUGAUGAAACUGUUUGGGUUU
rnacentral:lncRNA from 1 species